GCACCGUUUUAAUGUUUCAACUAGGACUAAUACACUAAUUCAAUAGUCCCCGGUUUCAACAAAGAUCGGAACUCCGGCCUUCAAUUAAUUUUACAAAUUGCACCAAAAUACAGAAAACAUGAAUCCAAAUUAUUUUAGCGAUAACAUCUGGUAUUGGUUUUCACUGAAGUUAUCUUUACAGACCAGCGGGUGUUCAACCCCAUAAUUGUGAGUCUUAUCGCACAUGUCAAAUUAUUUAGUAACCUCAUGUGGAGCGAGGAUGGAUUAUCGUCCUUGUCGAUACAAAUAAUUGUUAUCAAAUUGAGUUAUCUCCCUUAAACCGGACAGAUUCUUGGCAAUGUA
rnacentral:lncRNA from 1 species